CCCGGUUUACAUUCCGAACCCGGAAGCUAAGCCUCACAGCGCCGAUGGUACUGCAGGGGGGACCCUGUGGGAGAGUAGGACACCGCCGGAC
rnacentral:rRNA from 1 species